GAUGAACGCUGGCGGCGUGCCUAACACAUGCAAGUCGAACGAAGCUUGACGGAUGAUUUCUUCGGAAUGAAACCAGAUAUGACUUAGUGGCGGACGGGUGAGUAACACGUGAGCAACCUGCCUUUCAGAGGGGGAUAACGGCUGGAAACGGUCGCUAAUACCGCAUGAUGUGUUCGGAUGGCAUCAUCUGAACAUCAAAGAUUUAUCGCUGAAAGAUGGGCUCGCGUCUGAUUAGAUAGUUGGUGGGGUAACGGCCUACCAAGUCUACGAUCAGUAGCCGGACUGAGAGGUUGAACGGCCACAUUGGGACUGAGAUACGGCCCAGACUCCUACGGGAGGCAGCGGUGGGGAAUAUUGCACAAUGGGGGAAACCCUGAUGCAGCAACGCCGCGUGAAGGAUGACGGUUUUCGGAUUGUAAACUUCUUUUCUUAGUGACGAAGACAGUGACGGUAGCUAAGGAAUAAGCAUCGGCUAACUACGUG
rnacentral:rRNA from 1 species